AACUUUCAACAACGGAUCUCUUGGUUCUGGCAUCGAUGAAGAACGCAGCGAAAUGCGAUAAGUAGUGUGAAUUGCAGAAUUCCGUGAAUCAUCGAAUCUUUGAACGCACAUUGCGCCUAUUGGUAUUCCAAUAGGCAUGCCUGUUCGAGCGUUAUUUA
rnacentral:rRNA from 1 species